UUUUUUUUCGAAAAUUUCUUUAAAGGUACGAGGUUUAAUAAAGUUUCGUAUUAUGACUUUCAAAAUUAUUCUUUCGAUCCGCGAUUUACCAGAGUUGUCUAAAUGUCAUUCAUCUCUAUUUUCAGUUAAUGGAUUAUCGUUAGAUUUUCCGAGACUUGUAUUAUAAAAAUUUGGUAAUAGAUGGGUCCAAAGGUCAUGCCUUUUCAUAUACAACGCUUUCAAACGGAUCCCUCGUAAAAGGUUUAAUAAAAAAAAAAAGAACUGCUGAAACGAUUGGUUUGGAUUCUUAUGAAAAAUGUUUGAUCCAGAAUUGGAAGUUACAUCUGUAAUUAGGUUAGUUGACAUUUAAUUCACACAAGUUUUAUAAUUAUAUUGUAGAACGUUAACGUUUACUGAAAUCAAUUAUUCGAAAACAAACUGACGACGACAUGGCUAAAAAGACAAAGACAAACAGACAAAUAAUAGUACACAAGACACAACAUAGACAGCUAAAGACUUAGCAACACGA
rnacentral:lncRNA from 1 species